rnacentral:rRNA from 1 species
GACGAACGCUGGCGGCGUGCUUAACACAUGCAAGUCGAACGGAAAGGCCCUGCUUUUGUGGGGUGCUCGAGUGGCGAACGGGUGAGUAACACGUGAGUAACCUGCCCUUGACUUUGGGAUAACUUCAGGAAACUGGGGCUAAUACCGGAUAGGAGCUCCUGCUGCAUGGUGGGGGUUGGAAAGUUUCGGCGGUUGGGGAUGGACUCGCGGCUUAUCAGCUUGUUGGUGGGGUAGUGGCUUACCAAGGCUUUGACGGGUAGCCGGCCUGAGAGGGUGACCGGCCACAUUGGGACUGCGAUACGGCCCAGACUCCUACGGGAGGCAGCAGUGGGGAAUAUUGCACAAUGGGCGGAAGCCUGAUGCAGCAACGCCGCGUGCGGGAUGACGGCCUUCGGGUUGUAAACCGCUUUCGCCUGUGACGAAGUGUGAGUGACGGUAAUGGGUAAAGAAGCACCGGCUAACUACGUG